rnacentral:sRNA from 2 species
UCGCGUCAAGCGCCGUAGGCAGGAGCGGGGGACCCAAGGUAGGUGCCCGACCGGCCACUUGUGCCGGAAGGGCUAGGGGUGAAGCCGUGUCCCGGGAGGGGCGCGGCCGGGCAACUCAACCGGCCCGAACCCGACAGCUCACCUCGCAGGCGUCGGUGAGGGGAUCU